rnacentral:rRNA from 1 species
CAGGCUUAACACAUGCAAGUCGAGGGGCAGCACAGGUAGCAAUACCGGGUGGCGACCGGCGCACGGGUGAGUAACGCGUAUGCAACUUACCUAUCAGAGGGGGAUAACCCGGCGAAAGUCGGACUAAUACCGCAUGAAGCAGGGGCCCCGCAUGGGGAUAUUUGCUAAAGAUUCAUCGCUGAUAGAUAGGCAUGCGUUCCAUUAGGCAGUUGGCGGGGUAACGGCCCACCAAACCGACGAUGGAUAGGGGUUCUGAGAGGAAGGUCCCCCACAUUGGUACUGAGACACGGACCAAACUCCUACGGGAGGCAGCAGUGAGGAAUAUUGGUCAAUGGCCGAGAGGCUGAACCAGCCAAGUCGCGUGAGAGAUGAAGGUUCUAUGGAUCGUAAACCUCUUUUAUAAGGGAAUAAAGUGCGGGACGUGUCCCGUUUUGUAUGUACCUUAUGAAUAAGGAUCGGCUAACUCCGUGCCAGCAGCCGCGGUAAUACGGAGGAUCCGAGCGUUAUCCGGAUUUAUUGGGUUUAAAGGGUGCGUAGGCGGCCUUUUAAGUCAGCGGUGAAAGUCUGUGGCUCAACCAUAGAAUUGCCGUUGAAACUGGGGGGCUUGAGUAUGUUUGAGGCAGGCGGAAUGCGUGGUGUAGCGGUGAAAUGCAUAGAUAUCACGCAGAACCCCGAUUGCGAAGGCAGCCUGCCAAGCCAUUACUGACGCUGAUGCACGAAAGCGUGGGGAUCAAACAGGAUUAGAUACCCUGGUAGUCCACGCAGUAAACGAUGAUCACUAGCUGUUUGCGAUACACUGUAAGCGGCACAGCGAAAGCGUUAAGUGAUCCACCUGGGGAGUACGCCGGCAACGGUGAAACUCAAAGGAAUUGACGGGGGCCCGCACAAGCGGAGGAACAUGUGGUUUAAUUCGAUGAUACGCGAGGAACCUUACCCGGGUUUGAACGCAUUCGGACCGAGGUGGAAACACCUUUUCUAGCAAUAGCCGUUUGCGAGGUGCUGCAUGGUUGUCGUCAGCUCGUGCCGUGAGGUGUCGGCUUAAGUGCCAUAACGAGCGCAACCCUUGCCACUAGUUACUAACAGGUGAUGCUGAGGACUCUGGUGGGACUGCCAGCGUAAGCUGCGAGGAAGGCGGGGAUGACGUCAAAUCAGCACGGCCCUUACAUCCGGGGCGACACACGUGUUACAAUGGCGUGGACAAAGGGAGGCCACCUGGCGACAGGGAGCGAAUCCCCAAACCACGUCUCAGUUCGGAUCGGAGUCUGCAACCCGACUCCGUGAAGCUGGAUUCGCUAGUAAUCGCGCAUCAGCCAUGGCGCGGUGAAUACGUUCCCGGGCCUUGUACACACCGCCCGUCAAGCCAUGGGAGCCGGGGGUACCUGAAGUCCGUAACCGAAAGGAUCGGCCUAGGGUAAAACUGGUGACUGGG